UUCUAAAGUGUUGAGUUUGGUUCAGGGUGGCUUUCCUGUUCUGUUAAUUAAGCUUUGGGAUAUUGAAAUACAGUCUAGGGAGGAUAACUGGGUAGAAAACGCUACUCUACUCAUGUACUUCUCAGCCUNNNNNN
ensembl:snoRNA